GAGGAGCAUACAGCAAAUUUCUCUUUCCCUUUAUGGUGGUAUCCUACAGAUAACUACAGAAAGCCUCCCUUAUUUACUUGUGUAAUCCAAAAUGACCCUGAUUGAUUGGUGAAUUUUCUCCUGGUGGAGGGAAGCUCUUAACACGUCUGUUGUCUCUGUGUAACCCUGGCCCUUACUGCAUCCCUCACCUGCAACCUCUUGUUGCCCAUCUAUGGAACAAGGCAGGACACGGCUACCAGUGCAAGCAGCUUCUGCUCAGAGCUGAAUAGAGAAAGCACGUGGUGUAGAGUAAUACCAGAUUUUACUAGGUUUGGGCUACUUUCUGUUGGGAAGAUAGGAGAAAUGACUCGUCUAACUUACUUUUCUCAUGUUACACUGGCAAGGUUGUAGGGAUUUUUAAUUUUCAUUCGUUUGCAGCGUUAGCAGUUUGCAUUCACUGACUACAUUCACAGCCGGAGAUCCUUUUGGAGAGCUCAUUUAUGUAGCCUGUGUAAUCCCAGCUGCAAUUUUCUUACCAGGUUUACACUUUAUAUGCUGCAGGUAUCCAAGUGCCUGCAUGUUGGGAGGUGAAUGCAUGGGUGCCCUAACUGCUGCAGGCACGCAGUAUCUGCAGACACAGCUUUCCUUCCUCCUCCUCUCCGGGAAUGUGCUCCCAGAUGCAAACUCUUCCAUAUUUGGAAACGUGCAGCUAAGAAACUUUCUUAAGGGGAAAUCACAUACCUCGGAAAAUGUAUUUAAAGCUGUCUUCUGCCUCACGUUUUGGAGUGAAAUGGGGGCUAGAGAAGAGCAUUUUCUCCGUGUUUGUUGAAACAGAUAAAAUGCUUGUCCUCUGAAAGAAACGUGUUUACUAGAGGAAAACUACUUCCAUUUUAUAUCUGCUGGCACGUCUUAAUUGAUUUUAAAAAUGCCAACGUUUUUAACUAAUAUUAACUAAUCAUAACUAGUAAAGAAAAUGCAUUGGUUCCCAUGAGCAGGAAAUCAGCCUGAAUGGGGAGUCAGAAGGCAAGGUUCUUGAGAUUUUAUCCAAAGUUUCUGUAUUAAUUCUGUCUCCAGACAGGGGCACUUGGCUGCUUUGUUCCCUUCAGAAUGGGACUAGACAUUAGCUUAGUCACCGUGGUGUGUAGGGGAUUAAUUAGGCAAUUCAGCACCUCACUCUAAUCAUGUAAAAACAUUAAAAGCAUCACUGGAAGGAACCGAAGCUGUAUUUUAAGAAUUAUUGCUCAUUUACCAUCUUUUUUGUAACACAUCUUGGAAGAGUAAAGGGACACUUGUAUCAGCUUUCACGGUGCUGUGUGGAGCCCGGACCGACCUCCCUGACAGGCACAUGUGCUGCGUCUUCUGGCUGAACAUUGCUGCUGCACUGAUUCAGAUCCUGACAGCAAUCGUGAUGGUUGGCUGGAUUAUGAGUAUAUUUUGGGGGAUGGACAUGGUCAUUCUUGCAAGGUCUUCACGUAGUCAUCUCUGCUGAUGACAUCUCUGUGGGAGGAGGAUCUCAGGAAACUGCCAGGCACCAGCAAAACAAUUAAAUGGAUGAAACUGAAAAGAACAGCAGGAAAACAGAGCACAUUUUCAGAUGCCAAACCCACCGGUUAAACCCAUCCACCAAACCACCUGCUACUUUCUGAGCCAGCUUCAAUUUACAGGCUGAGUUCAGGGAGAUCCACAUACACAGUAAGAUGAUGUGAACAUGAGUGAAACAAAAGGCUUUCCUCAAGACAAAGACAGCACUACACUUUGUUUUCCCCUGCAAACCAGCAGAAGUUUCAUCUCAGAUGUACCUGCAUGUUGGGUAGCCUGAUGAGGAUAACAUGGCCCGUCCUAGGGUAGGUUCUGCAGUUGCCCUGGUAAGGAAAGAAAACAGAAAGCAUGUGAGAGACUCAGAAGAGAAGAGCAUCCCUAAACAGCUGGUAACCCUUCGUGAGAUUAAGGAAAUUCUGGGGGCAAAUUGCCUACUUAGAUCCAUUACAUUCCUUACAGUCUAAAUAGAACCAUCCCCCAGACUAUGCCUAAGUUUCACAAGGCUACAAGGAGCAGGGGAUCCCACAGCAGCUGUAGUGGCUGGGACAAAUAUGUUGAGAGAAACACGGCGAGAGAUUUCCUUUGGCAGCCGCGGGCCACGGACCUUCUCACUACCCUUUGUCUUUCUUCUUCCUUUUGUUUUGUGCUCGCCCCUGUCCCCCUGCCCAUCCAGCGGAGCGGAGGUGCAGAGCGGCAGCAGGAGACUUGCACUGAGCGAGGAGCAGAGAUGGGGCAGAGGCAGCGUGCGGUGGGCCCAGCCACAGCCCGUGUGCGGCGGGUGGUCAAGGAGGAGGAAAAGGAGGGUGCCGAGAGGAGGAAAGCCCCCGGUGAAGGUGGCACCCGGGCAGGCAGCAGAGCUGGGGGAGCGGGAGGUGUUGCUCUCUCUGUCCUCCCAGCAGCAAGCGGUCAAAGACAUUCUGCCUCCUGUUAGACGUUUUUUGCCUCCUGUUACGUUAAAGAAAACCAGCUGUGAGCAUCAAAUGCCAAGGAGCUAUCAAUAGACAGACGUACAGCCUGUAGAAGCAACAAGCGGUCCCUUUUUCCCUUCCAAGAGCCCCUUCUUGACUGCUUGGUGGCAGCAGAGGGCUCAGCCCAGCUUCCUCAGCCGUGUACCUUCGAUGCUCUAUCAUUGCAGAUGUCUUGAGAAAUGUGCUUGCUGUAAAUCGCGUUUUACUCUUAAACUGACUUGGGCUGUCCUCUACAUCGAUCCUCUGGCUCCAGGCAAGCACCAGACCUCCCACUGGCCCCGGGAGGCUCCUACCAGCGGGAGACGGGGAUCCCCUGCACCCCGUGUGCUGCUGGUGGGGCAGUGGGACAAGCCCCGUGCUGCCAAAAACCUCCAGUGUAAAGACUUCUCCCCUUCCCCUGGGAGGAACCUGCUGUCCUUGGUUUGGCCGUGGAUCCCUGCGCAGCGUGUCCUGCAGGACCAGUCGAUGGAGCAUCUCCGCUCUGCUCCCCAGGGUCGAUCAAGCAACCAAUGUACAACUCCAGAGGUGCUGAGGUCUGCCAGAUGGACACCAAGGCCAAAGGGUCCAAUUUCUGCCUGUGAGAGGGAUCAACUUUAAUAAACAGCCAGAUUUCCACUCCCUACUUCAGGACAGGAGCAGCUUUACAGAUUUGCCACUCUCCCAGCUACCUUAGAGGGAGCACUGGACUGAAUUUUCAACCAACUGCUGCAAAAGCAAUGAGGAACGCUGCUUUUUCCAGUAGCCCUUCCCUGGAGAGACAUUUCUGUGACACCACUGGAUGGACGGAGGAUGUUUUUUCCCUGCUCCUGAGAGACUAGACCUCUGUCCAGGGAUGGAUCGAGCAGAGCCCAGACCCCGACACUGCUCCCAAGGAGCCCACAGCGGGGAAGCCAGCAGCCAGAAGUAGGGGGCCACAAUUUUCACUGGUGAGAAGACCAAUGCCAUGAAAGCCCAGGUAGAAGUGCUGAUGUGAAGCUCUCCUUCAUGAGCCAUGCUUAUUAUUAAUUAUUUGUUAUUAUUAUUUUUAGGGCCAGAUGAAUCCAGCACCUUCCCACCUCCCCUGCCAUGGGUGCACGCAGUGUGCUCACUCCUGCCUGUGGAAACAGGACUGUCCCAGCCACCCCUCACCAGGCACAUCAGCUAAGACUUUCAGGGCUUCCACCAAGAUAUUCCUCCUCUUCCUCCUGGUAAAUACUGCCCCCUUGCACAUUUUUUUGGUACAGCAAAAUACCAAAAGGCUGUAACUGCAGGCCCUGCACAUGAUCCAGCUGCUGACCUGGACAGCUCGAUACCAUCCCUCGCUUUAUGAGUACAAAUGCUUUAGGUGCAAGUGUUGCAGCUACAGAGCUACAGCAGGUUAUGAAGAACAAAUGCAACUGCUUCACCACCAUCAGCCAGCAACAAACUGUCCUCUGUUGCUCUUUCCCGACUGGGAAAACCAGGUUUCUCAAAAAGGGCUUUAACUAAAUAGUUCCUUGGUACUUUAAACCUAGCCGGGCUGAAAAAAAAAAAAAAAAAAAAAAAAAAAAAAAAAAAAAAAAAGCUGAUUUACUGCUUGCUGGAAAGCACUUCCAGGUAGGAACCAAACCAAAUGUGCUUUUGAAACUUGUGGUGAGUCAUAAAGUAGUUUCAGUGAGCCGAACCAUUUCAAUGUUCAUAGAUCUGUUGGUGUUGCCAGUUCUGUACUUACCAUGGAAAAGGUGCUGUGAAAGAUGGUCCCUGCCCUCCGCGCUCCUGCCUGCCCAGCAGAGCUGCCUGCAGAGGCUCAGCACCUCCUGGCCAUGGCAGCAUGAUGGGUGAUCCCAGCACAUCCUAGAAACUUUGCCAUAUUAACACCGGACACCUCCUGCUGCCCUCAGUCAGGCUUUGUGCUAGGAAAUGGUCUGGCAGCAGGCGUUAUGGGUACAUGACAUGUGGGUACCUGUGUCUGUGCCACCGCAUCCCACACUGCCAAAAAAGCCGCAUGUUCCUCUCCAUGUGCAUCACUUAAUUUAUUAAAGACCUUUCAGUUUUGCUGGAAAUUGCCCUUGGUCAUAGCCUCUCCAUGAUGCAUGAGGUGUUAUGCAGAGCUCCACAUUUGGGAAGCCCAAGCACGAAAACCCAUAAUGCCAUUACUCUCCAGGGGCUGCUUUAUCCCAUCCUGGUAUUGCCUCCUCACCACCUGGGGAUGAGCCAUGCACAUGCUAAGCCAUCAGGGUGUCCUCAUACCCUGCCACUGUGCAGCACCACGGGGCAAUGCACAGGGCUUUAUCCCACAAAUACACUUUUAAAAAAACACACACACACACAAAAAACUAUUCAACAUAAACUAUAUCCCCUACAUGUCAACACCAAGACUUCUUUGACGCUUUAAGGCCAGGCACGAGAAUAGCCAUAAAUACAGCCAAACCUGAUGUUCCUUCCAGCCAAAGGAGUGGCUUUGCUCACUGGUGCUGCACGGUGAUAUUUUGCAGAUGGCACUUUUCCGUGUUCACGCACACAGCGCACUUUCAGGCAGUUCUGGAAUGGGUUUUCCCAACUUGAACACAGCGUUUCAACCCCUCCUGCAUGCCCACCCUGCUGUACCACAAGCUAAACAGAGAUUAACCCCCCCCCCCCCCCCCCCCCCCCCACCAGUUCUUCCUCACCCACAGACCAGGCUGGUCUGGGCUAAAAAUCAGUCCCACCUCACCCAGAGGGCAGCAGCACCCUAGUGAAGGGGGAGCUGGUGCCCACACGCACCACCUUCUCCCCACAUGGGGACAGUGCUGGUGUCCCAACGUUCACUCAGCCUGUUUCAUUUCCAUGCUGGAGCCCGAACUGACCCAGCCGCGACGGUCACAGAGGAGCGCUUGUGAGCCUGCCAGUGUUGCCAACUGUUUGGUUGUGACUUGCUGUGUUUUGAUACUGUGGAUUAUUAUUAUUUUUUAAGUUAAAUAUAUUCUAUUGCUGUA